ensembl:lncRNA novel transcript, antisense to C6orf1
AGAAGCAAAGAGAUCGUCCUGGGGCAGUUUGCACGCUGAUGGCCCAAGGUCCGCGACCCAGGUUCGCUUGAGUCUCUAUCAGAGGGCAAGUUAUCAGGUGCCCAGAGAUGGAAGCCACCCUGACUGGGGAUGAGCAGUUACUUCACCAACUCAAACUGGCUUAGACGGUCAGUGCUACCACCUGGCAUGUCAACAAAGGAUGGAGGAAGUGCAGUGCUGCUCCCCGCAAUGAUAUGAGCUGCAAUGGUGUCCUUUGGGCUGAUUUCCUCUCUCCACCCACGUCCGAAGUUUUGGGGCGUCUCUUUAGAGUUCUUUCUCUCUAGCCACAAGUCCUGCAGGCCAUUGGAAGACUAGGCUGCAGAAAGCUCAAACUGUUCCUUCCAUUUUGGGACCAGGGAACAGAGCUCACUUAAUGCUGCUCUCCCACUGAUGAUGCCCACCCAUUCUCGGCCUGCAAGCCCUACCACUCACAGCUUCAAAAAUGGCUCCGCCCUUCCUGAUUCCACCCCACACAGAAGAAAGCAACUUCUUGUGAUGCUUCCUUAUUCUGGAUGUGGCUCACCUCUUACCCCUUCCAACUCCUUUGGGUCCCCUAGAAAGCCUCCCUGGCUAAGGGGUACAGGCCCUCUCCUCAGCAGUGGGCACUGACCGUCUAACCAGGGCUCUGUCUCGGCACCUGGUAGCAAGGACGGCAAGAUACAACAACAUGCUGAUUUUAAUAGCCUCUGGCUUUCUCCACUGCGUUUCUCACCUGAAUGCCCUGCACACCAAAUCUUCCAUGGGGUCACCCUUGACCUCUAGGGCAAUUCCCAAGAAUCUAGCAGAGGAGUGGGGGAAACCAAAAGGCUGACAUGAAGGACUCAAGGGAAGCCUCUGGAAAGAAGAGACCAGACACUAAAAGGGAUGUGUGUGAAAUACUGGUUUUUAUUGGUUGGCACAAGAUUACAACCUACAAUUUCAAUGCCCUUCCCUCCCACACAGCUCAAAUGGAAGGAAACUGAUUAACACAUAGAAAGGAACGGCAGGCUCACAGGUUUAAGCAUUUGUUUUUACAAAAAGGAGUGGGAUAUGGGGGUGGUCAAGUUUUACGGGUAAUAACAACAUUCUCUCUAGAUGGCAGGGGGUAAGUCUGCCUGUCCUCCAUUGCUGGUACCACAUAAGGGAUACAUUAGUAAAGUAGGGAAAGGGUUAUAUGUGUGGCUGGCCUGUUCUUUAGAGAGGAAGGUGGGAUGGUAUCUGCUGUGUACCUGUCUCAGACCAAACCUGGGGCUGGACCAGUGCCCCUUUCUUCUCAGCCCUCCUCCACAGCCUGACUGUACUGCCAGCCGCACCCAUGAGAAGGAGGUGUGAAGGAAGCCUGAGGACAUCCACCUCGAGAAAAGGAAACAGGAAAACUAUUUCCUUCCGCCUUCUCUGGACCAAAUUUCACUCCCCUCAGCUCCAGAGAGUGCUGCAAAAAUCUUCCUUAGGGACGCUGUGAAGACACGGGGAAGAGGCCAGCCCUGAGCGGGCAAGAAGAAAAGCUUGAACUUUCCAUGCAGUACCAAGCAAGGCUAUUUUGGAAACAAGCAAACAAACAAAAAAUGGAAACCAACACCAUAUAACCACAGGUUGGGUAGCUCCUAAAUCCUGGACAGCAUUUGGAUUGGGGGUAAGGGCAAUUUUACUCCAGCUCCUUGUUUUAUAACCCGCACAAGGUGCCAAGAGGUUUAAGGACCACAACUGACCUCUCUUUCCCUACAAGCACCAUUCCUUGGAUUCCCAGUUUUGUUGAGCUCAUUUGAGGUCAUCCUUGCCAUCCUCUUAAAAAAUGACACAGCCUCUUGGUUAUUCCAUUUUCUAUCCCUUUCUACAAUUAUGAACACACUCUCUAAACAGGAGAUCUAUAUAUGCUCUCAUCCUGCAACCCAAGAGAUUAGGUGACCUAAUGAUGAGAAGGCUAACUUAUUUGCUUUCCUGGGUGGUCCUGAUGGAAAUGAACAGCAGCAGAGUUCUGGUGGGAUAGAGCAGUCUAGUCUGAGCCACUGUGUGAUUCCCCAGGGGACUGGUCCCUGGGUACAUGGGUCCCUGGCUCUCUGUCUCAGUUCCACAGAUAUUACUCAACUUGGCCAUUUACGCCUCAGCUAAAACAUAUGAGCAUGAGGGAAAAGGGACAAGAAAUACUUUUGUCCUCUAGAAAAACUUAACUCAAUACAUCUUGGCUACUUUGCCUCAACCCACGGGGUUCCCUGGAAACAUUUGUUGAACUUGGCCAAGAGGAGAUUGUAUAUGGAUGGCACACCUGGAAAAGGGGAGAAAGCACACUAGUUCAUCUCUUUUAUAAGUAGAAUGGUCCCAGGGAUGUUAACCUUUCUGAUGCUGAUAGUAGAUGAGUGGAGUGGAGGUAAUCGUGAGAAAACUUAAAAACCCUUAAGCUGUUUGGAGACUACACACCACAGUGGAGCAAACCAAGGUGGGGCCUCACUGCCUCCUCAGAGCCCAUCCCUGACCAUGUCAUUGGAUAGGAUGGAAGACAAAGUCUUUGAAAUGGAGGCUGGGCUGGCAAAAGUGAUAUCCCAAGUGACACAGAAACACAGCUCCUCCGGAUGGUGAAGUCUCCGCUGCAAAACUCACGAAACAGCACAGAGGAUGACUCUAGGGUGCUCUCCCACUUGCUCCAAGUUAGGCAGGUGCCCUGAUGGAGGCAAGGCUGAGCCAUUAACAUGCACAGCUCCAUAUCCUGGAAGCCUCUGUAGCCUUGAGGAGAUAGGCUCUAUCCAACAGGACUCAGAAUAAAUGACUGCCACCUCAACUGAGCAGUAUGAACUGCCCACCUCAACUGGGCAGUCUGACCUCUUCCACAGUCUUUAAGAAACAGAAGAGCCAUUUGCAUUAUUUAAUCACCAUUCAAUAAUCUCCUCCCUCCCCAUAGCUGCUUGAGUUAACUGUCCCACAAGUGUCCUGUGUUUUGUAAAGAUGAGGGUUAUUUUCUGAAAUGCAGAUGGGACUAGGAUGAAGCUGUAUUAUCAAUUACAGAGACAGCCAACUCUCAUUUCUCUUAAAGCAAAAAUUCAUUCCACUGUGAUUUCUCCAGGUAUUUCCUGCAAUUCUAAAUCCGCCCUU